rnacentral:rRNA from 1 species
CCUACGGGGGGCAGCAGUGGGGGAUAUUGCACAAUGGGGGAAACCCUGAUGCAGCGACGCCGCGUGGGCGAAGAAGUAUUUCGGUAUGUAAAGCUCUAUCAGCAGGGAAGAAGAUGACGGUACCUGACUAAGAAGCCCCGGCUAACUACGUGCCAGCAGCCGCGGUAAUACGUAGGGGGCAAGCGUUAUCCGGAUUUACUGGGUGUAAAGGGAGCGUAGACGGCAGUGCAAGUCCGGAGUGAAAGCCCGGGGCUCAACCCUGGGACUGCUCUGGACACUGUAAAGCUGGAGUGCGGGAGGGGCAG